AUGGCGUCCUCAGAUGCACCAGACGCGGCCAUCGCCGUCGCGGCCCCGAUUCCAGCCCCUCCUCGCACAGACAGCCACGAACCAUCUGGGGCAAAAGAAGCCGGCAGCGGCGGCAAGCAAUCCCAUCAGGUCCAGUGUCUAGAUGGGAAAAAUUGGAGACCUGGCUGCCACCACCGCACCUACAGGACGCCUGCUUGGGAAUCUGAAAAACUCUAUGGAAGGCCAUUGCUGCAGAUGGAUCCAAAUAAAUUUCCUGACAUGUUCUCCACAUUUUCGACUGAUGCUUUCAUGUCAUAUGGCGCUGGAGCAUAUCAAUGA
rnacentral:rRNA from 1 species